UACGGAGGGGGCAAGCGUUGUUCGGAAUUAUUGGGCGUAAAGAGUAUGUAGGCGGCUAUUUAAGUCAGACGUGUAAGCCCACGGCUCAACCGUGGAAUUGCGUUUGAAACUAUUUAGCUUGAGUUCGGGAGAGGAAAGCGGAAUUCCCAGUGUAGCGGUGAAAUGCAUUGAUAUUGGGAAGAACACCGGUGGCGAAGGCGGCUUUCUGGUCCGAUACUGACGCUGAGAUACGAAAGCCAGGGGAGCGAACGGG
rnacentral:rRNA from 1 species